CCUACGGGGUGCAGCAGUGGGGAAUAUUGCACAAUGGGGGAAACCCUGAUGCAGCGACGCCGCGUGAGUGAAGAAGUAAUUCGUUAUGUAAAGCUCUAUCAGCAGGGAAGAAAAUGACGGUACCUGAGUAAGAAGCCCCGGCUAACUACGUGCCAGCAGCCGCGGUAAUACGUAGGGGGCAAGCGUUAUCCGGAUUUACUGGGUGGAAAGGGAGCGUAGACGGCAGUGCAAGUCUGGAGUGAAAGGCGGGGGCUCAACCCCAGGACCGCUCUGGAAACUGUACGGCUGGAGUGCAGGAGAGGUAAGUGGAAUUCCUAGUGUAGCGGUGAAAUGCGUAGAGAUUAGGAGGAACACCAGUGGCGAAGGCGGCUUACUGGACUGUAACUGACGUUGAGGCUCGAAAGCGUGGGGAGCAAACAGGAUUAGAUACCCCUGUAGUC
rnacentral:rRNA from 1 species